UUGAUCUUAGUGGCGGACGGGUGAGUAACGCGUGAGUAACCUGCCUUUCAGAGGGGGAUAACGUUUUGAAAAGAACGCUAAUACCGCAUGAUAUCCUUGCUUCGCAUGGAGUGGGGAUCAAAGGAGCAAUCCGCUGAAAGAUGGACUCGCGUCCGAUUAGCCAGUUGGCGGGGUAACGGCCCACCAAAGCGACGAUCGGUAGCCGGACUGAGAGGUUGAACGGCCACAUUGGGACUGAGACACGGCCCAGACUCCUACGGGAGGCAGCAGUGGGGGAUAUUGCACAAUGGGGGAAACCCUGAUGCAGCAACGCCGCGUGAAGGAAGAAGGUCUUCGGAUUGUAAACUUUUGUCCUUAGUGAAGAUAAUGACGGUAGCUAAGGAGGAAGCUCCGGCUAACUACGUGCCAGCAGCCGCGGUAAUACGUAGGGAGCGAGCGUUGUCCGGAUUUACUGGGUGUAAAGGGUGCGUAGGCGGAAGAGCAAGUCAGUAGUGAGAUCCAUGGGCUUAACCCGUGAACUGCUAUUGAAACUGUUUUUCUUGAGUGAAGUAGAGGUAGGCGGAAUUCCCGGUGUAGCGGUGAAAUGCGUAGAGAUCGGGAGGACACCAGUGGCGAA
rnacentral:rRNA from 1 species